rnacentral:lncRNA from 1 species
AAUAACAUAGGCACCAAAUAAAGUAUCAUUUGAAAAGAUAUUAUCUUGCAAUCAUGUUCUACAUAGCAGGACACCAUCAUGAGAUUAUUGUGGCCAAUAACCUAUAAAACAAUGCUUGCUCGUCAAAAGGCAGAAGUGAUCUCAAUAAAUAUCCUUGGAUCCCUACAUACCUUGCACUCACAAGAUUUAGAAGAGUAAUGAAUAGAGCAGUAAUCUCUGAUCUCAUUGUUAUUACGGACCACUUAAGAAAGCACAAGGUGUCUGCAACAAUAGAACAACAUAAGUAUCUCCUUCUGCGCAUUUCAUUUGUUAGUACGGACCACUUAAGAAAGCCUGAGAUCAAAUACAUGUCCAAGGAACAAGACAUUAGAAUAGAAAAGAUGGGCACUAUGGUGUGCGUCAAGGAGACAACCACCUUUGCCGAACUCAGCUUCCUGUUUGUGCGUCUCGAGCCUUCAGGGGCAAUGUUCUUUUUCCUUCCUCCCUUAGUUCCAUAGCAGGUG